CUCGUAGGCGGUUUGUCACGUCGUCUGUGAAAUCCUAGGGCUUAACCCUGGACGUGCAGGCGAUACGGGCUGACUUGAGUACUACAGGGGAGACUGGAAUUUCUGGUGUAGCGGUGGAAUGCACAGAUAUCAGGAAGAACACCGAUGGCGAAGGCAGGUCUCUGGGUAGUAACUGACGCUGAGGAGCGAAAGCAUGGGGUAGCGAACA
rnacentral:rRNA from 1 species